rnacentral:lncRNA from 1 species
UUUUCGCUAGUAAUCGAAAAUACAAAGACUGAGCAACGCUGCUUAUUCUCAAUUAAAACUUUACAACGUAACGUGAAGCUACAGAAGAAGAGGCAGAGUUACUACUCUGAUAAUCUUGCCAGCUCCUCCAGAGCUAUAAAGGACUGAAGUAACUAAAGUGUUCACCAGCAUUUUAUUAAAGCAGACAAUAUAUGUAAUUGCAACAUUUCAAGUGGCUCAAUAAAGAUACAAAGAAAACC